rnacentral:rRNA from 1 species
GACGAACGCUGGCGGCGUGCCUAAUACAUGCAAGUAGAACGCUGAAGAGAGGAGCUUGCUCUUCUUGGAUGAGUUGCGAACGGGUGAGUAACGCGUAGGUAACCUGCCUUGUAGCGGGGGAUAACUAUUGGAAACGAUAGCUAAUACCGCAUAACAAUGGAUGACCCAUGUCAUUUAUUUGAAAGGGGCAAUUGCUCCACUACAAGAUGGACCUGCGUUGUAUUAGCUAGUAGGUGAGGUAACGGCUCACCUAGGCGACGAUACAUAGCCGACCUGAGAGGGUGAUCGGCCACACUGGGACUGAGACACGGCCCAGACUCCUACGGGAGGCAGCAGUAGGGAAUCUUCGGCAAUGGGGGCAACCCUGACCGAGCAACGCCGCGUGAGUGAAGAAGGUUUUCGGAUCGUAAAGCUCUGUUGUAAGUCAAGAACGAGUGUGAGAGUGGAAAGUUCACACUGUGACGGUAGCUUACCAGAAAGGGACGGCUAACUACGUGCCAGCAGCCGCGGUAAUACGUAGGUCCCGAGCGUUGUCCGGAUUUAUUGGGCGUAAAGCGAGCGCAGGCGGUUUGAUAAGUCUGAAGUUAAAGGCUGUGGCUCAACCAUAGUUCGCUUUGGAAACUGUCAAACUUGAGUGCAGAAGGGGAGAGUGGAAUUCCAUGUGUAGCGGUGAAAUGCGUAGAUAUAUGGAGGAACACCGGUGGCGAAAGCGGCUCUCUGGUCUGUAACUGACGCUGAGGCUCGAAAGCGUGGGGAGCGAACAGGAUUAGAUACCCUGGUAGUCCACGCCGUAAACGAUGAGUGCUAGGUGUUGGAUCCUUUCCGGGAUUCAGUGCCGCAGCUAACGCAUUAAGCACUCCGCCUGGGGAGUACGACCGCAAGGUUGAAACUCAAAGGAAUUGACGGGGGCCCGCACAAGCGGUGGAGCAUGUGGUUUAAUUCGAAGCAACGCGAAGAACCUUACCAGGUCUUGACAUCCCGAUGCUAUUUCUAGAGAUAGAAAGUUACUUCGGUACAUCGGUGACAGGUGGUGCAUGGUUGUCGUCAGCUCGUGACGUGAGAUGUUGGGUUAAGUCCCGCAACGAGCGCAACCCCUAUUGUUAGUUGCCAUCAUUCAGUUGGGCACUCUAGCGAGACUGCCGGUAAUAAACCGGAGGAAGGUGGGGAUGACGUCAAAUCAUCAUGCCCCUUAUGACCUGGGCUACACACGUGCUACAAUGGUUGGUACAACGAGUUGCGAGUCGGUGACGGCAAGCUAAUCUCUUAAAGCCAAUCUCAGUUCGGAUUGUAGGCUGCAACUCGCCUACAUGAAGUCGGAAUCGCUAGUAAUCGCGGAUCAGCACGCCGCGGUGAAUACGUUCCCGGGCCU